rnacentral:rRNA from 1 species
AUUGAACGCUGGCGGCAGGCCUAACACAUGCAAGUCGAGCGGAUGAAGGGAGCUUGCUCCUGGAUUCAGCGGCGGACGGGUGAGUAAUGCCUAGGAAUCUGCCUGGUAGUGGGGGAUAACGUCCGGAAACGGGCGCUAAUACCGCAUACGUCCUGAGGGAGAAAGUGGGGGAUCUUCGGACCUCACGCUAUCAGAUGAGCCUAGGUCGGAUUAGCUAGUUGGUGGGGUAAAGGCCUACCAAGGCGACGAUCCGUAACUGGUCUGAGAGGAUGGUCAGUCACACUGGAAGUGAGACACGGUCCAGGCUCCUACGGGAGGCAGCAGUGGGGAAUAGUGGACAAUGGGCGAGAGCCUGAUCCAGCCAUGCCGCGUGUGUGAAGAAGGUCUUCGGAUUGUAAAGCACUUUAAGUUGGGAGGAAGGGCAGUAAGUUAAGACCUUGCUGUUUUGACGUUACCAACAGAAUAAGCACCGGCUAACUUCGUG